rnacentral:rRNA from 1 species
UACGAAGGGGGCUAGCGUUGCUCGGAAUUACUGGGCGUAAAGGGCGCGUAGGCGGAUGCUUAAGUUGGGGGGUGAAAAGCCCAGGGCUCAACCCUGGAAUUGCCUUCAAUACUGGGCAUCUUGAGUACGGGAGAGGUGUGUGGAACUCCGAGUGUAGAGGUGAAAUUCGUAGAUAUUCGGAAGAACACCGGUGGCGAAGGCGACACACUGGCCCGUUACUGACGCUGAGGCGCGAAAGCGUGGGGAGCAAACAGGG